GAUGAACGCUGGCGGCGUGCUUAACACAUGCAAGUCGAACGAAGCGCUUAAACGGAUUUCUUCGGAAUGAAGUUUUUGCGACUGAGUGGCGGACGGGUGAGUAACGCGUGGGUAACCUGCCUCAUACAGGGGGAUAACAGUUAGAAAUGACUGCUAAUACCGCAUAAGCGCACAGUGCUGCAUGGCACAGUGUAAAAAACUCCGGUGGUAUGAGAUGGACCCGCGUCUGAUUAGCUAGUUGGUGGGGUAACGGCCUACCAAGGCGACGAUCAGUAGCCGGCCUGAGAGGGUGAACGGCCACAUUGGGACUGGAGACACGGCCCAA
rnacentral:rRNA from 1 species